UCGGAUGCCAAACUUUUCCAAUUAUGAGAGCGCAGUAAUUCACCAAGGACUGGAUCAGUUUCCUGGGCUGGCUCACAGAGAUGCUGCACGGGCAGACCCCUAAGUGUCGUGCCCUUCGCAGAGCUAACAUGAUCUCCAGAUAGCAGCAGAUGGCACUCGACGGCUUGUGUUGUGUCCGCAACUCCUCGCGCACAUUUUACCCUUCUCCGGGCUUCAAUUCCCUCCCCCAACAUUGUGCCCCAUCACAUCAUCUCUUGGGGGUGCAACCGCUGGACCAUGCUCUUUCUCCUGUAUAAAGAUACACAGCUGCUGCUUGUGGAUGUAGGCUCCUAAUGAGUGGGUACCACUUGGACCAAGGCUACUGAUGCUGUGGAGAAACGUUCCCCAGAGAGCUGGCAGAGAUGUCUCUUCGCCUUGGCCAGUGGCCUCCCUGUGACCUGUACCAAACAAUAAAAAAGACAGCAGAAUAACUGAAAAAUGACAUAUAUCCUUUGUUUGCCUUGGCCUCCACUGACACCUCCUCCUCCCCUCCCACACUGUCAGGCUGCAGGGGAGUGAGAUCAUCCAUGCUGUCCCUUGCAGCGGGUCAGCCCUUGCUGGCCCACCUGGUGCUCAUGUUGCUAAAUAUAACGAGGAUGAGUGGCACCGGCAAACACAUCUAAUUGUCACGCGGCAGA